UACCCUACAGGCUUGCCUCCAUCUGGGUCUUAUGGAGGCAUUUUUUAAAUUGAGGUUCCCUUCUCCUGAUGACAUAAAACUAUGCAGGACAGUCAGUGACAGACACCAGCCUUUCAGGGCUCAGGAAAGAGCUUCGGGUGGGCUACAGUCCUGAAGCAAGAAUGAGCAUGUCAGGACAGCGUGGAGACAGCUGAGGCUAGGAAGCCAAGGGUGACAUGCAAGCCAGGGAGCAGUCGGAUCCAAAACAGCAUUUAGGUCUUGGUGUGAACUAAAUUUUGUUCAAAGAGCAGUGGGGACUUGGGGUGGCAGUAUGUGAGGAAGUGCUCUUUUGUUUGUUUUGUUUUGAAACAUGGCUCCCUUUGUGGCCCAGGAUGGCCUCAGACUCUCAAGCCUCUUCUUCAGUCUGCUAAGUGCUAGGAUUGCAGGCAUGUGUUGCAAUGCCUAGCUUAGUUCUGUUUUCAGAUUAUUGGUGCGCGGGACAGAAUCCAGGCCCCUGAUCCUUAUUAACGUAUGUGUUCUAGCCCUGAGCUAUACACGCAGCCUAUUUUGUCUUUCUAAAGUUGGUUGUGGUUGCUGUAUAGGGACUGUUUGGAUGGGGCUAAGUGUAGAACUGGGAGCCCGUGAAGGAGACGGUGGACAACCUGUAUAACACAUGAUGGGGUUUGGGCAAAGGCAGUGAUGGUGGAGAUGGUGGAGGAGUGUUUGCCUGUGAAGUACACGGUGCUAAUAGGUUUGGCAGUCCAGGCAGGGGUCCAGCAAGGAGAGAAAGGUCUUGCAUGACUUCCUGCCCUGUCCCUGGUCCUGAACGUUUUAUUGUUAUCCAUGCUCAGAAAGCAUGUCCCUCAGGGUUCUGCAUAAGACAGGUUGGGGUUGGGAGGGGGAGUGGGAAGGAUGAAUAAUGUGGUAGAUGACAGAUACGAUUUUCAGAAUGAUCUCUGCAAGCCCUGAAGUGGGACCAAAACAACAGGAUGGGGCUUAAUGGGGAUAAAUGUGGUGCCUUCCAUUUAGGUUCAGAAAAUCAAUUCUCUAAGUACAGGAUGGGGCAGCAAAGCUGGAGAGAGGUUUAUAGGCAAAGAGCUAGCCACAAAUUCAAUAUAAACUAAUAGUUGCCAUGGGCUGCCACAAACCCUGAGUAACAUGGUGUCCUUGUACCCAUAUGGCUUUCCUGUUGGACCUUUGUAUGGAUUAGGACACACCUGGGCACCUGUUAAAGAGCAACAUGGAAGGCCAGAUGAUGAGAAUUCAGUACGGAGAUAAGAUCCAGGUAGGUCCCCCGAAGUGUUGUAAGGUUAUGGCCGUUAGCUUUAAAUGUGUGUAAAACUACCAUAUGGGGUUGAGAUCCUAAUUCUUUGUAAUAAUCCCAGAGGCCAGGACCAAAAUUUGUUAGUCUCACACCUCAGCACACUUAGGGAGUGGCCCUCUUCUCUGUGCUGGUCAUUGUUUUGUUUUUGUGUCAAAGUGAGCUGAACAUACAGUAAGAAAACACCUCCUGUAAUCCCAUUAUCAGAAGGCAGAGGCAAAAGGGUCUCAGCUUCCAAGUCAACCUCAGCUACAUAGCCAGCCUGGACUACAGAGUAAGAGUCCUGUCUUUUUAGGAAGCAAAACAAAAUCUAGCAUGUAAUGCUUCCUUUAGAGACGGCUCUUAAUAAUGUUAGGCUUACAGCAAAAGCAAAGACAGAUUUCCUGUAUCCUCUGCCUUCAGAGCAAAGCCCAGCCUUCAUUCUGCAAGUGCCCACUGUGAGCAAGUGAGCGAGGCCACUGUUCUGUCUGUCUGCUGAUCAGAACACGAGGUGCCACACCUCUCAGCGUGGGAGACUGCGUACCUGCACCGCCUUCUCCAUUCCUCUCCACAAAUUGUGCGUCAGCAGUAGGAGUUGCAGGCAUGAAGAAAGCGAUCCCGCAUUUGCUCCUGGGCUGGAGCUGCAACCUUCAGCAGGCCUCUCUGAGACACUCCUGAAACUCUUCCUCUGUGUGAUAACUCAGCCUGCCACUGGGCCAGCCCAGCUGUCAGAUCGCUUUCCUUCCCUGCCAUAUCAGGGCAGGGAACAAGGACAGGAGUGGGAUUCUUUGCCGGAUGGUGACAGUCAGUCAGACUGCUCUGAGCAGCCCCACAGCUCCAGCUGGUUUUAAAAGGCUCCUUGUUUAAGGCCUUCAAAAACCCUCAGAAGGCACCUGAGGAAUUUGAAACCAAGAUGCUGCGGAGCAAGAAUGUCAUCUGUGAGUCACCUGAUCACCAUGUGUCCCUAAACAACACCAAGUGGCAGCUCUAAUGACUGCUGCCAGGACUUCAAAGUGCAAAGCCCCAAAGUGGGCUCAUUUGGAGAGAAAUCCAAAUCCCAGAAUUCUCAGUAAACUUGAAAGGACAUUUCUCUGCCUCUCCAGAUGAUGCUCUGCAUCUCCUUGCAGUAGAGCCUUUAGGUUCCCUGAUAAGCAGCUUUGAACCAGGGAGACAUAGGGGCAGGCUGCAUGAGAGCCACUCUGGGGCACUCGUGUUAAGUGGUAACCCUCACCUUGCCCCAACCUCUGUCUGAGCUGUAAAAUCCUCGGCCAAACUGUGGUUACUAAGUCGAUUGCUUCCAAAACAGCCUUGCUGUCUUUGAGUUGGGGUUGCUCUGCCAGCUGCAGGCUCUGCUUUGAUAGGCCACAGCAGUGCGUUUCGUGUCUAACUAGUGUUUUAAUGUUUAUGAAGAACUGUGGUUAAUUGGAUCCCCAUGGUACCUCAAGUGUCUUUAGAAGCCCCUUGUGCCAAGGAAAAGGGUGUUGUGCUGUGCAUGCACACAUGGAAGCCCUCUGUCUGAGCAAGCAGCACAAGGUUUACAUGGUCUUGGUGAUGAAGGGAAUUUGUUGUUGUUUUAAAGGGCGAGGCUCACAGUUUGAGGGGGUUCAGUUUAUGGUUAGCAAGGUCCAUUGCUUUGGGGCCCAAGGUAGGAAAGAAGCAUCAUGGCAAAGAGCAUGUAGUAGAGCCAAGCUGCUCACCUCCUGGUGGUCAGGAAGCAGAGAGCGAGUUAGUUUUAAUGGGUAUGUAAUAAUUGGGAACAGUGUGGUAUUUCAACAUGUGUAUGUUAUAUAGUGAUCAAAUUUGCGUAUUUCGCUUGCUUAUACCUCAUGUAUUUAUCAUUCCAUGUUGAGAACAUUAAAAAUCCUCUCUCCUGAUUAUUUUGAAAUAGUCAAAGCAAUUUUAUUAACCCCCACAGCACUCUAGGAUACCCACCAGCAUGUAGCUCCCCUCAAGUGUGACUUUGUACCUACUGGCCUAUCUCUCUGUCCUCUCCCCAGUGUGGUCUCCUUUCUCCUCCUCUCUGCUUCCGUGAUAUCAGCAUCUUCGGGUCCCAUACAGAAGUGACGUCAUGCAGCAUGUGUCUUUCUGUGCCUGACCUGUUUCACUUUCAUGAUGUCCCAUAGGUUCACCCAUGUUGCCAUGGUUCCAUUUCUCUUGUGGCUUACUCUAGUCUAUUAUGGUCUACAUAUAAUCCUAAUACUUGUUUUUCCAAACUCCAGGUCUUGGCCUUUCUCUGCUGCACUCCGGGUGAGUGGAGCUGCCCAGCUAAACUCGUGGUCUUUACCUGCUUUGCAAGCACGGCUGUCAGGGUCAUCUGCUGUCCUCGUGGCUGUUUCCUGGUGACUCCUCCUGCAGAGUUGUAGCACACACACUUCCAUCUGUGUCCAGGAAGACCUGUCACACUCUCACUCCCCUGCUCCAUCUUAAAAAUGGUACCAUAAUUAGCUAUGGUCCCCAGGUUGCCAUGCUUUGAUCGUCCACACCUCUGCCCCUUCUUUGAAACCAGUGUCAACCUAUUCCUGGUAACUUGAAGGUGCCUGUGGUUGGGGCAGAAGCUCAGAAAAAGCAAUGUCAGAUAGGUGGUUUUUGAGACAGUAGUGAGGUAGUAAGAACUGAGCGCUGGACCAGAUUACACUGAGGGACCUCAGGCUCGGGGUCCCUGUGAAAGAGAGAUGUUGAUGGCCUCAGCAUCCAUCCCAGGUGGUAGAUACCUGUCAGUCAUAGCUGUCAGUGAAGGGAAUAUGGCUAUGUCUGAUGCAUCUGCAGCUCUUAAAGUCCAUGCUUGCCUCCCGGUUCUCAGUGGAAAUCUCUGAUGUUCCAUGAGUGACUCUCCCCAGCCAGACAGACUUGGUCAGUUGUCCUCAGCGCUGUGCUCUUUGCCGUCACUGCGGCUGUCUGUAUUGGUAACCUUACAUUGUUUUUAACCUAUUUCAUCCCCAUGAAAAUGGAAGCCACAGCUUGUUCAUAUUUCCCUUCUCGGCCCUCCAUAAUGUCCGGUAAAUAUGAAAUCAUCGUCCUAAAUGAAUGGCUCCUGAGAAGGACAUCCAUAAACUGUCCCCGUAGAUCUUACCAGGCCCUUGAGUCGUCACCAUUAGGUUCUGUGUGGCCAGCUUUCUCACUGUCACCUGGACAUUCUGCCUCUCCCUGCUGGUUACAUGGCUCAGGGGAACCUCAGUUUGUAGGACACACCAUCAGGCAGGAAGUGGCACCCUCCCCACUUACUCCUGGUGUGGUGGAAGAAGGGACAGGUGGCCUUGGGACCAGAUGCAGAGAGAUGGGCGUGUGGCAUGACUGAGUACCUCUGCUCUUCAGAACGCUGGUAUAAAGACAACGGUGUCCUGGGAUAGCCACGGAGGGUCACUGCCGUGUGUGGUAAGGCAUGUCAAUGUCUCACAGGAGAGCCCAUUCAGGCAUCAUCCACUGUAGGCGGCAGAAAUCCCACUGGAAAGUGGUUCCUUGAUGCUCCAUUUGCCUUUCUCGUCUGUUUGUGGGUCUGCCUGAUUAGAAGGUAGAACUGUACUUGUGUUCAAGGCAUUGCAGUUGUGUUCUGAGGACCAAGCCCUGGAAAUGAGCUCGGUGUGAGCUGAAGCUCUGCGGUGAGUAAUGCUGGGAUAAGUGAUUGAAUGUGUAAGCAUGAAAAUCCACAGUGGGAGUACCGGGUCUGCCCGAGCAUCAGUAUGCUGCUCCUGGGUGCGCUGUGGAACUAGCCAUCUCUUGAUGUUCUUGGUCUUAAGCGUUUCCCUUUACACGUUCCCUUUCAAGUUCUGCAUUCCCUUCUGACUCUGACUUUGCAGUAGGCCAAGCAUCUCCAUCACUCUAGUUUACACAUGGAGUCUGCAUGGCUGGUAAUCUCUAGAAAGCCUUUGUGUGAGGUGUUGAACUAAUGCACACAUUCAGUGUUGGUUUUGCCCCAAGGAUCCUCUUCCCCCAGGCAGUGGUGUGGGGUUUGGAGGGUCUUGUUCUCUCCUCACAAUGAGAUGGCCUCAUGCAGAAGUGUGCAUGUGUCCCAGCUGAGCAGACAGCAAGCCCAAGAAGUUCCAGGCCACGGGACUUGAGGUUCACCCUAGACGUAACCAGACCUUUGCCUGUAACGAAGCUGCGGUUACUGCAAUACUGCGCAGAGCAGUAACCCUGAGGAGGAGAAAACAACAAAGGGAAUCCAAGAAGACGCCUGACAGAAGUGUGAAGCUGAUGAGCAUGUGUGGUUUGGGGCGGGCAGAUCUGCUGACCUAGGCCCCGCUUCAGCUUCUGUGAAGGACUUGGGUUUGCUUGUUUGAGAUGGGUCCACAUCUGCAUCCCUGACUGGCCUCAAACUCAUGGUCCUCUUUCCUCAUGCUGGGAUUACAGACACACACGGUAAUUGUGGCCUGUCUGGUGUUUAAAGGAAGGUCAUUGGUGCCCUCGUGGGACUGACAGACCUGAAGGGGGGGUGUUCAGUUGCUUGCUGUGGUCUUUACCUCCAGAUCUAAGUCAGAACCUGAAGUUCGUUUCUGCAAGCUUGUCCGAAUUCAUUAUUUUUUCAAGAGAAGAAUAAGUUUAAACAGUAGCAAGAUGGGGGCUGGAGUCUUCUUCCAGAGAGAACCCUGUGGGCAUCCUACCACGUGUCCUGAGGUCACCCACCUAUGCCCCUUGUCCAUAUCUGUCUGGUGACCUCUGCAUCUGAGAUGUUUCCAUUUCUGAGGACAGCGGGAACCGUCAAGGCUGUGCCACAGCACCAUGUAAUCCACCCCCUUAUCUGGAUGUGUGAAGGACAGACGAGGCCAUCGCUCUAACAGAGUCGUCAUUGUUGUUGUCUCCCAAGCGCACCCACGUCAUGCCUGUGGCACCUACUCUCUGGACACAGAGUCUGUGCCCUGGCUGUGCGCAGGGCCCACUGUGAUUUGGGCAGGGGGCAAGAUGGUGGUGAUGGCUUCCUGUGGGGAGACUUGGAUGGAAGAGGCCGAGUAAUCCCA